rnacentral:rRNA from 1 species
GCCUUAGGCUUCUCCCUAGGAGUCCUGUUGCGGUUCGGUACGAGGAUGUUCCUUCAUUUUCACCGCCCAACUCGUUCUUAGUCUCAGCGUGACGCUCAUAAGAUCUGGGUGUCCCGGAAAAUUCUCACCGGCACACGUCGUUGGGGUCGCUGUCGUGUCGCCACAUAGGUACAUCUAUAUAGAAUAUCUACUAUAUUCCCUUUUACUAGGCUCGUAUCACUUCCUUCUAUUAAAAGGACAAACCCGCCUCCAUUGGCACAUACAAAUGAUGCUACUACUUCCAAGAUCUGCUCCGUGAACAUCUCCAACACACCUCACGGCGGGUCUUCUCAGAUGCACACGUGCCGGCCUACGUGGCUGUACCAUGUGGGGCU